AGCUCUCAAAUGGAGUCCUUUAUUGUGACUUCCAUUUGGAUUUGGACUCUGCUGUGGUCAAAUACAGCUGGUCUUAAAAGCAUUAGCUUGGUCCUUGAUAAUCUUGGUUCUACUCGGCGUGAUAAUUAUCUAACGUUGAGGACAUUUCUUUAUUGAGAUGGCCAGAAUUGUUUAAGAACUGCUUCUAACCGUCUUCGGACAUAACACUUUCAA
rnacentral:misc_RNA from 1 species